rnacentral:rRNA from 1 species
UGUCGAGGCGGUCAUGUUAGUCUUUCGUAAAAUCCAGGAGCUCAACUUCUGGCCCGCGAGAGAAACGGCAUGACUUGAGGUAAGGAGAGGUGCGUGGAACUCACGGUGUAGGGGUGAAAUCCGUUGAUAUCGUGGGGAACACCAAAGGCGAAGGCAGCGCACUGGCCUUAAUCUGACGCUCACACACGAAAGCCAGGGUAGCAACG